rnacentral:lncRNA from 1 species
AUAGACUCAGUAAAACUAAAGUUGGGCUACAUUUUUAAAAAAGAGGAAUUACUGUAUGAAAAUAAAUGACGACUAUGCUGUUGUACAACAUUGGGUUAAAAAUUUACAGAUGGUUAAAAUAAAUAAAAUCCAUUUUUUGAUCUCUUCACCCAUCUGAUUAAAUAACUAAUAAAACUAUUUCAUGUAAUGUAAUCUGCAUUAGCUAACUUCAACUGCAUUACUGGAUUUUAUUUGACUCGAAUUUGCAUACUUCUCUACCAGACUCUAUAAAGAAAAACAGUAAAUAGUAAUAAUAAUGUUAUAUGUUGACAAAUCCGAGUGUUAGGUAAUUUUACACAAAAAUACUGCCUUCACAGAAUACUUUUAACAAAGCAGGACAAUAUUAUAUGAGUCAGAUUUUUGUGUUUCUAAAAUUCUCUGUUCUUAAGAAUUUUAAAUUGAAAGAUAAAAUUUUUAAAUGAGAUGCG